rnacentral:tRNA from 1 species
GGCCGGGUCGACUAAAGGCAGGUCCCCUCAUUUUCACUGAGGAAGGCGCGGGUUCGAAUCCCGUCCCGGCUA